AUGCAUUUUUGCAUGUAAUUAGGCUAUAAAUAGAGGUGUUUUCAAAUGUUGAAGGACUUUUGCCUCUUUUAUCAUUUUCAUCAUCUCAACAAAAGAAAAAAGAAAGCUUCCAAUCUCAUUUUAUCUCCAUUACUUUCUACACCAAAAUUGGGUCCCACAACCCGGUUCUUUGUCUAGAGGAUAGCAGUUGAGUACUAGUGGUGGUCUCGGGUAGAAUUGGUAAGAAGACAUCAAACAUUUUGAAAGCUUCAAAGGUAAUACUUCUUAAAACCCUAAUUUGAUUAGUUUAUGGUUACAUGUUAAUUGUGGCAAUUAGGGUAGAAAUUCGAUUCUUUUUCCGCUGUGCAUGACUUAGUUCUAUCAAGUAUCAAUGUAUGAAGCGAAUAAAAUUUUAGGUGCACUAAGAAUGAAUUGGGAAAAGAUUCACGCAUGUCCUAAUGAUUGUUGUUUGUAUAGAAAAGAAUAUGCUGAUGCAAUCGAAUGUUCUGAAUGUGGUGAAUCAAGGUGGAAGCAUGCUAAUAAUGCAAACAAAGGACAAAAAAGAUUCCUAGGCAUUAUACUUUCCACCGAUUCUACAUUUCAAAAGAUUGUUUCGAAGUAUUAAUUACCAUGCUAAAAAUUUGAUUUGGCAUGCUAAUGAGCGAGUAGUUAAUGGAAAAUUACGACAUCCCGCGGACUCUUCAUAAUUUAGUUGGUCCCAAAUUUCAUAAUUUGUAAUUUUAUCAUUUGAUUUGACAUUUAAUUUGGGAUAGUUUGUGAUUGAGUAAAAAGUUCUUACUCAAUACUUCGUUUUUCGAAAUAUGUGUUUCAAUUUUACAAAACCAAUAUUAAUAGGAAAAAAAAAACUCCCUUUUCUUAAAACAUGUUCUUAGUUUGUGCCAUGCACAUGUGAAAGUUGUAUUUUAUUUUAUUAAAAAAUCUAUAUAUUUCAACCCGAGAAGGUAAAUUAUUUGAUGUAAAAUCUUAUUUUAUUUUAUUGGAUAUUUUUAAAAAUAGUAAAAUAAAUUAAAAUAUUUAUAAGCUAUACCAAAAUUUUAGAUUCUAUUAAUGAUAGUCUUCUAUCACUAUAGUAUAUCAACG
rnacentral:lncRNA from 1 species